rnacentral:rRNA from 1 species
GACGAACCGUGCGAACGUUGUUCGGAAUCACUGGGCUUAAAGGGCGCGUAGGCGGGCCUUCAAGUCCGGGGUGAAAUCCUCCCGCUUAACGGGAGAAGAGCCUCGGAGACUGAGGGCCUCGAGGGAGGUAGGGGCGUGCGGAACUAUGGGUGGAGCGGUGAAAUGCAUUGAUAUCCAUAGGAACUCCGGUGGCGAAGGCGGCACGCUGGACCUUUUCUGACGCUGAGGCGCGAAAGCCAGGGGAGCAAACGGG